rnacentral:rRNA from 1 species
CCCUUAGAGUUUGAUCCUGGCUCAGGACGAACGCUGGCGGCGUGCCUAACACAUGCAAGUCGAACGAAGCUCUGCGAUACAAGACUUCGGUCAAGUUGAACGGAUGACUUAGUGGCGGACGGGUGAGUAACGCGUGAGGAACCUGCCUUUCAGUGGGGGACAACAGUUGGAAACGACUGCUAAUACCGCAUAAUGUAUUCUGACCGCAUGAUCGGAAUACCAAAGAUUUAUUGCUGAAAGAUGGCCUCGCGUCUGAUUAGAUAGUUGGUGAGGUAACGGCUCACCAAGUCGACGAUCAGUAGCCGGACUGAGAGGUUGAACGGCCACAUUGGGACUGAGAUACGGCCCAGACUCCUACGGGAGGCAGCAGUGGGGAAUAUUGGGCAAUGGGGGAAACCCUGACCCAGCAACGCCGCGUGAAGGAAGAAGGCUUUCGGGUUGUAAACUUCUUUUACCAGGGACGAAGGACGUGACGGUACCUGGAGAAAAAGCCACGGCUAACUACGUGCCAGCAGCCGCGGUAAUACGUAGGUGGCAAGCGUUGUCCGGAUUUACUGGGUGUAAAGGGCGUGUAGGCGGAGAAGCAAGUCAGAAGUGAAAUCCAUGGGCUUAACCCAUGAACUGCUUUUGAAACUGUUUCCCUUGAGUAUCGGAGAGGCAGGCGGAAUUCCUAGUGUAGCGGUGAAAUGCGUAGAUAUUAGGAGGAACACCAGUGGCGAAGGCGGCCUGCUGGACGACAACUGACGCUGAGGCGCGAAAGCGUGGGGAGCAAACAGGAUUAGAUACCCUGGUAGUCCACGCUGUAAACGAUGAAUACUAGGUGUGGGAGGACUGACCCCUUCCGUGCCGCAGUUAACACAAUAAGUAUUCCACCUGGGGAGUACGAUCGCAAGAUUGAAACUCAAAGGAAUUGACGG